rnacentral:lncRNA from 1 species
UUUUUUUUUUUCACUUUUUAGGGCCACACUCUUGGCAUAUGGACGUUCCCAGGCUAAGGGUCAAAUCAGAGCUCUGGCUGUUUAGCCUACACCACAGCUAUAGCAACAUCAGAUCUGAGCCACAUCUUUGACACCACACCACAGUUCAUGGCAAUGCCAGAUCCUUAACACACUGGGCAAGGCCAGGGAUCAAACCUACAACCUCAUGGUUACUAGUCAGAUUCGUUUCCACUGUGUCACAACAGGAACUCCAUACCCAGUAUAAACAUUAGGAAAUUAAUAUUGAAAGCUAUCAAUAAGGAGUAAUUUGUGCGUGGCAUGUUAUAAAGCAUCUGGCUCAUAUUAAAGCACAAAAGCUUUUAUUUCUUUAAUAGUAUUAUUGAUAAUAGUUGCAUGAUUGAUGUCUCAGAGACUCAGUGAGAUUUAAGCUACCGUCACAUCAGCAAAAUGACAUUUAAAUAUCUGGUUGCAGGUCUGUAGGCAUGUGCAUGUGUGCUCCUGAGAGAAAGAGGAAGAAUGAGAAUAAACUGGGCCACUGGGUUUCCUUUAACAAAGUACAUUCUUUUUCAAGGUACAACAAGCAAGUUAUUACCGACUGUCUUUAAUUAUUUUUUUCCAAUUUUCCAUAGAUGGAAGAAGGAAAGAAAGAAGUGAAACAAACUAUGGGACCUCAGGAUUUCUUCUGCUGAAUGAACGCUGAUAUGAAAAUUCUGAAUCAUUGUUUCAUCCAGUUUAUACUAUUCAUGGACUAAUGAACAGGAAGACUACAGAUAAAUUGAGUGGCUAGUGAAUCACAUUGUUUUCCACCUCCUGAACAGCAAAGACAGCCCCUGAUUCAUCCAGCUCCUACCCCAUCAUUGUGCCAACCAGCUAAAUCAAAUGGUUAACACCAAAGCACUCAGUAAUUGACAAAUAUUUCCCCUAUUUUGUGUGUAGAAAGAUUAAAGAGCCCAUUGCUGAGAAAAUUAUAAACUGUUAUUAUAUCAUAAAAGGCCCAGAAGAUCAAUUCUAGAGGACCUAGGUGUAAAUUGGCUGGCAUUAGACAUCAUGGUAAAAAGAACACACUUCCUAGACCUGCAGGAGAUAAUUAGGCCCAAUUACUAGGUGAAGUCACUGUAUUCAUUUAAAAACCAGAUAAUGUAUCAAAGUGCGUGUGUGUGUGUGUGUGUGUGUGUGUGCACGCAUGCCAUAAAAAUUGUGGUCUAACAAAAUUUUAACUGUGAUCACGUAAGUAUUCUUUUUUAUUAAUAAGAAAAGUAAUAGUCACUAUAAAAAAUUAGCAUAUCCAGGUAAAUGUAUUGGAAAAGCAUAAAUCGUCCAUGAAACCACCACUCAGAAAUAACCAAUGUGAAAAUUAUAUUGUAGUUUUUCUAGGAUUUCUCCUAAGCACGUGCUUGUCUCUCUCUCACACACACAAACACACACACACACACAUACACACUCUAUAUAUAUUUCUCUCCACUAAAAUACAGAUCAUUCUUUGGAACGCAUUUUUGGAAAGCAUUUUUUCCAAUAGCGUUAAAUAUCAAGUUAAAAAAAAAAACAUUUCAUUCUAUGGAUGUGCUAUAAACAUAUAUGUAACAACUUAUCAAUUUUUGAUAACCUCUAUGGAUCAUUAUUUCUCCACAUCUCCAAUUUUUUUCAUUGAUAUAAACUCCUAGAACUUUUCAUUUAUGGUUUUUUUUCUGCUAUCUACAUGAUCAUCUCCUGUGUGAGUAACCCCUUAAAUGUUAGAUUUGGUUUUCACUAUCUUGUAUUUGCUUCCCCUGUUCUCCUUGGACAGGCACACUGGCCUCCAUGGCUCCAUUGUUAUCAAGUAAACAUAGAUCCCUGUCAAAGGUGCAGCUAUUUGGAUUGAUAUUAAAAAUAUAAACUGGGAGUUCCCAUCAUGGCGCAGUGGUUAACGAAUCCAAAUAGGAACCAUGAGGUUGUGGGUUCGGUCCCUGCCCUUGCUCAGUGGGUUAACGAUCCGGCGUUGCCGUGAGCUGUGGUGUAGGUUGCAGACGCGGCUCAGAUCCAGCGUUGCUGUGGCUCUGGCGUAGGCCGGUGGCUACAGCUCCGAUUCGACCCCUAGCCUGGGAACCUCCAUAUGCCGCGGCAGUGGCCCAAUAUAUAGCAAAAAAACAAAACAAAACAAAAUAUAUAUAUAUAUAUAUAAAACCUGAAUUUUAAGUGAAGAUUAGAAUGUGCAUGCAGAGGAAUAUUAAACUUAAUUUAGAAAAAUAAUACUGUCUUAUUCCUUUACUUCUAUUUAGGCUUUCUUCUUUUCGCUUCUGAUAUUUGGUUAAUAGUAUCACCAAACCACCUAGUUGCUCAACUUAGGAAUCAUCAGAUCCUUUUGAAUUAUCCUUCUCUGUUGCUAUUUCUCUCCAUAACUCAUUUCUAAUCUAUUUUUC